rnacentral:rRNA from 1 species
GACGAACGCUGGCGGCGUGCCUAAUACAUGCAAGUAGAACGCACAGUCUAUACCGUAGCUUGCUACACCAUAAACUGUGAGUUGCGAACGGGUGAGUAACGCGUAGGUAACCUGCCUGGUAGCGGGGGAUAACUAUUGGAAACGAUAGCUAAUACCGCAUAAUAUUGAUUAUUGCAUGAUAAUUGAUUGAAAGAUGCUAUUGCAUCACUACCAGAUGGACCUGCGUUGUAUUAGCUAGUAGGUGAGGUAACGGCUCACCUAGGCGACGAUACAUAGCCGACCUGAGAGGGUGAUCGGCCACACUGGGACUGAGACACGGCCCAGACUCCUACGGGAGGCAGCAGUAGGGAAUCUUCGGCAAUGGACGGAAGUCUGACCGAGCAACGCCGCGUGAGUGAAGAAGGUUUUCGGGUCGUAAAGCUCUGUUGUAAGGGAAGAACGGGUGUGAGAGUGGAAAGUUCACACUGUGACGGUAUCUUACCAGAAAGGGACGGCUAACUACGUG